rnacentral:snRNA from 1 species
GAGUGGCUUAACACUUUCAUACUUCAUACUAAAAUUAGAAUAUUAGCAUGGCUCCAGCAUAAGGAUGACGUGAAGAUUCAUGAAGGACUCCAUAAUUUU